rnacentral:rRNA from 1 species
GGGGGGGGGGGGGGGGGGGGGGGGGGGGGGGGGGGGGGGGGGGGGGGGGGGGGGGGGGGGGCGGGGACGUUGGGGGCGGGGUGGGGGGGAGCGCGUGGCGAACGCAGCGAGAAGGCUGGGGUGACUUCGGGAAACGGGAGCUAAACCCGGAUACUAUUGUGCACCGCGUGGUUCGAUAUUUAACGACGGUUUUGCUGUCACUUCUCGAUGGCUCCGCGCCGCAUUAUCUAGUUGGUAAGGUAACGGCUUACGAAGGCAACGAUGCGUAGCCGACCUGAGAGGGUGAUCGGCCACACUGGAACUGAGACACGGUCCAGACUCCUACGGGAGGCAGCAGUAGGGAAUCUUCCGCAAUGGGCGAAAGCCUGACGGAGCAACGCCGCGUGAGUGAUGAAGGUCUUCGGAUCGUAAAACUCUGUUAUUAGGGAAGAACAAAUGUGUAAGUAACUAUGCACGUCUUGACGGUACCUAAUCAGAAAGCCACGGCUAACUACGUG